CCCGAAUCUCAACAUGUGAGUGGUGUCUUUGUUCAUUCUCCCACAUGCCACAGAAGGGGCGACUCCACCACUGCCUGUUAUGUGCUUUGGAUAUAGCGAUCUUUGUCAUUCCACAACAAUUCUCAGCACGUUAAAAGGGGAUAGUGAAAACAUUAAUGAGAAGUCUCCCACUCACACCCGAUCCACUAUACUACUCCAGAGUAUCAGAUAGCAGGACCAGUUG